rnacentral:rRNA from 7 species
UGUUGACCUCGGAUCAGGUAGGAAUACCCGCUGAACUUAAGCAUAU